CCUACGGGGGGCUGCAGUAAGGAAUAUUGCACAAUGGGGGAAACCCUGAUGCAGCAACGCCGCGUGAGUGAAGAAGGCCUUCGGGUUGUAAAACUCUUUUCUGAGGGAUGAGGAAGGACAGUACCUUAGGAAUAAGUCUCGGCUAACUACGUGCCAGCAGCCGCGGUAAAACGUAGGAGGCGAGCGUUAUCCGGAUUUACUGGGCGUAAAGGGCAAGUAGGCGGUGGCCAAAGUUGGGCGUGACAGAUCCUGGCUUAACUGGGAGAGGUCGUUCAAAACUAGGUUACUAGAGGGCAGGAGAGGGAAGCGGAAUUCCUAGUGUAGCGGUGGAAUGCUCAGAUAUUAGGAAGAACACCAGUGGCGAAAGCGGCUUUCUGGCCUGCACCUGACGCUGAAGGGCGAAAGCUAGGGGAGCGAACGGGCUUAGAUACCCCAGUAGUC
rnacentral:rRNA from 1 species